rnacentral:rRNA from 1 species
AUACGGGGGGUGCAAGCGUUAUUCGGAUUUAUUGGGCGUAAAGGGCGCGUAGGCGGCUUGGAAAGUCAGAUGUGAAAGCCCGGGGCUCAACCCCGGAAGUGCAUUUGAAACUAUCAGGCUUGAGUAUGGGAGAGGGAAGUGGAAUUCCUGGUGUAGAGGUGAAAUUCGUAGAUAUCAGGAGGAACACCGGUGGCGAAGGCGACUUCCUGGACCAAUACUGACGCUGAGGCGCGAAGGCGUGGGGAGCAAACAGGAUUAGAAACCCCUGUAGUCC